GUUUGCACAGCUGUUGCCCAGAGAACUGAACAAAGCGCUGAAACUUUAACUUGAAUUUGAAAAAAAAAAAGUCAACUGACAAAAAAAGCACAGAUAUCAGGGAAGUCAACAAAGAGGCAAAAAACUUUGUGAGGUCAGGAAGAAUUUUCUAAAAGGUAAAUUUCCUGGGAGCUUGAAGGAAACUGGAAACUGGAGUCUGAUAAAGGCACGGGGGCUGAGCUCUGGAAGCUCCCAUCCCCGCACAGCCACCAGAGUGAAGAUCACAACAGCAGGGAGAAAUCCAUUGCCCAGGAUGGUGGAGCAGAAAAGGCCACAAUUUCUUCAGAGCUCGGAAGCUGGAGCCAAGUGAGGGAUAACUUCAAGAAAGAGCCUGCCUCAUAUCGUUUCUUCUAACUUCUGGAGUCUGCCUUAGAAUGAGUCUCUGUCAUGGGGAGAGGGAGGAUCCGGGAAAGACAGAAGAAGGCGCUUAAAAGAAGACCAAUUUUCCAAAUGGAAAAGAGGGAGGACAGUCCCCAAAGAAACCAUGCAUGCAAAUGGACAGAGGAGGAAAGACCACAGCGUGUUCAGGAAGAUUUCACCAUUGAGGGGCUGGGGAUAAGGUGGAAAAGUAGCUUGGAACUGUGAAAAACUAUAAAGAAGACACUGAAGAGCUUUUUAACAGAAUGCAGCAGCUUCAGCGAUAAACCUCAAGCAAGAGAUAGGAAAAUCUGACCAACCCAAGAGAAAAAGACCCACAGAGGCAGAUAGCUGGAGAUUCCCCAUUGAAAGACCCAGGUUCCAUCCUAAUCAUCCAACAAUGAAGCCAGCAGUUGACAAGCCUCUCCAGUGCACGCAGAACUUACAAUCAGCUUUUUAGUGCCUUACAGUUAAACAUAAAAACACCAUCAAGGAUCAUUGGGCAUGAUGAAGGCUUUUAAUAUGAAAGUAGAAGGCAAAACAGGAAAAAGGAAAAGUGAUGACCUACAACACAAGAGGCAAAAGAAAAUGUCAUACACCAAACUCUAGUGUCCCCAGGUAGAGAGGAGAAACUAUUACACCCAU